rnacentral:rRNA from 1 species
AACAGGAUUAGAUACCCUGGUAGUCCACGCCGUAAACGAUGUCGACUUGGAGGUUGUGCCCUUGAGGCGUGGCUUCCGGAGCUAACGCGUUAAGUCGACCGCCUGGGGAGUACGGCCGCAAGGUUAAAACUCAAAUGAAUUGACGGGGGCCCGCACAAGCGGUGGAGCAUGUGGUUUAAUUCGAUGCAACGCGAAGAACCUUACCUGGUCUUGACAUCCACGGAAGUUUUCAGAGAUGAGAAUGUGCCUUCGGGAACCGUGGGACAGGUGCUGCAUGGCUGUCGUCAGCUCGUGUUGUGAAAUGUUGGGUUAAGUCCCGCAACGAGCGCAACCCUUAUCCUUUGUUGCCAGCGGUCCGGCCGGGAACUCAAAGGAGACUGCCAGUGAUAAACUGGAGGAAGGUGGGGAUGACGUCAAGUCAUCAUGGCCCUUACGACCAGGGCUGCACACGUGCUACAAUGGCGCAUACAAAGAGAAGCGACCUCGCGAGAGCAAGCGGACCUCAUAAAGUGCGUCGUAGUCCGGAUUGGAGUCUGCAACUCGACUCCAUGAAGUCGGAAUCGCUAGUAAUCGUGGAUCAGAAUGCCACGGUGAAUACGUUCCCGGGCCUUGUACACACCGCCCGUCACACCAUGGGAGUGGGUUGCAAAAGAAGUAGGUAGCUUAACCUUCGGGAGGGCGCUUACCACUUUGUGAUUCAUGACUGGGGUGAAGUCGUAACAAGGUAACC